CGCAGUAGUGAUAGCACGAAGCACGUUGAAUGCACCAGUUCCCCAUUGAUCACUGAAGAUAAGCAACGUUUUGCGUGGUUGGUAUACGUGUGGGGAUACUACCUGGACAAUCGUAUGCUACUGGCU
rnacentral:rRNA from 1 species